GUCUAUUUGGAGAUAUAAAUAGUCUAGUCUGCCCACUGAUAGUUAAUUUAAAGGGCCGCGGUAUAUUGACCGUGCAAAGGUAGCAUAAUCAUUAGUUUUUUAAUUGAAAUCUCGUAUGAACGGCUGGACAAAAGAAAGUCUGUCUCUAUAGUGGUUAUUGAAUUUAACUUUUGAGUGAAAAGGCUUAAAUAAAUUAAAAAGACGAUAAGACCCUAUAAAGCUUGACAUUAAUUGGAUAUUACACCGGAUUAUUUGGCUAUAAAGGUGUGUAAUGCAAUUUUUGUUUUAUUGGGGCGAUAGAGGUAAAAUUGUUGGUAACUGCUUAAAUUUUAUGACAGGAUAAGUGAAUAAUUAUUAUAAGAGAUCCCAAGAUAUGGAUUACAAGGUUAAGUUACUUUAGGGAUAACAGCGUAAUUUUUUUUAAGAGUUCUUAUCGAAAAAAAAGUUUGCGACCUCGAUGUUGAAUUAAAACUUCUUUCCAAUUGCAGCAGUUGGAAUAGAAGGUCUGUUCGACCUUUAAAUUAUA
rnacentral:rRNA from 1 species